CCAUGUUAUUCAGCACGGCUAGUACUAGAAUUGGUUCUGCCGAAAACAUAGAAGUAAUCAUUCCAAAACUAAAUCGUGAAAAAUCAAUAUUGAAGGAAAAAAGGUUCAUGUUUUGCGCAUGCGUGAUAUGCUAUGAAUGUCUCGCACAGAAACAGCGAUAUCUCUAUUCGCCUGCCUGUCUCGCAAGAACGAAAAUAUCGUUGUCUUUCAUGUUGAACUUUCAAUUCAAUCGUAUAUCAGUUCAAUUGAAAACAUGACAUCGCGCUGCACCAAGGGAACUGAAACUUGAAAAAUGGUGUACUACAGCUGAGUCUAGUAUUUACAACUCGAUCGGAGCGCCGCUAUCGGGAAUUGGGAUAACACACCGCGCCGCUAAAAGGAAUUAUCUCACCACGGGAAUUCCCAGAACACCUAUCUCCCUCGUUAGUAACGCUUUAAAGUGUAAAAAUCUAUCUGAUGCGUAAAACAGAGUAGUCCAUACAGUAGACUCAGAGUAUCAAAUUUUAUUAUAUUAUAUUUACAUAUAAUAUUAUAUUUCGUCUCUAUUCGUCGGGUCAUUGAGGCCUGACUGCCCGUUUUCAUCAUUUUUCUCAUUACAUAUUACAUUUACAUCGUAACAAAGUAAUUAAAAAGGUUUCGUCAAAAUCCACGAGGGCGUCAUACAUCGACAGAUUCACCGAUAAAGGAAUACGGAUCUGGCUAUUUCCGAUAUUUUCAACACAGUCAUAGAAAUGAGUACGCGUAUUGGCCGAAAGUGCCAUAUAUACAAAUAAAAUAAUACACAAUAAACGCAUAACGGUGGACGAUAGAGAGCAGUAAUUUCCUUGCUUCUGUGGCCCCUUGUGUCGUCAGUACUGCAUAGUACGUAUGUACAUAGGAAGAAAGAUAUGAGAUAGAUAAUGAUCGAUGUUGGAUCUAGGAAUUUGGGGGUAAUUUUUAAAUUCCCCGGUCGAAAAUUAUCAUAUAACAUAAAUAAAAGCUAUAGAUAAAAGUUGUGUCCUGAAACAAAAUUCAAUGCUUUUUUUUCAUUUUCUUCACUAUGAUAGAAAUGGAAUACAAGAGAGGGCAAGAAAUAAAAAGAAUGCGAAUAAUUAGAUGUUAUUGAGUACUAAUCAACUUAAUUGUUUUCUAUAUUGUAUUGAAUGAUCGAAAUAUACUUUUCUUCGCUUAUUUAACAAGAGUAU